rnacentral:rRNA from 1 species
GUGCCAGCCGCCGCGGUAAUACCGGCAGCCCGAGUGAUGGCCGAUCUUAUUGGGCCUAAAGCGUCCGUAGCUGGCUGCGCAAGUCCGUCGGGAAAUCCACUCGCUCAACGAGUGGGCGUCCGACGGAAACUGCACAGCUUGGGACCGGAAGGCUCGAAGGGUACGUUCGGGGUAGGAGUGAAAUCCCAUAAUCCCGCACGGACCACCGGUGGCGAAAGCGCCUCGGGAGGACGGAUCCGACGGUGAGGGACGAAAGCCAGGGUCACGAACCGGAUUAGAAACCCGUGUAGUCC